GGCUGGAUAGCUCAGAUGGUAGAGCACUGCAACGAUAAUCCAGGGGCUGCAGGUUCAAACCCUGCUCUAGUCA